AGAGUUUGAUCCUGGCUCAGGACGAACGUUGGCGGUGCGCUUAAUGCAUGCAAGUCGAGGAAGAACCUUUCGAUCCGUAAGGACCGAAUGGGGAAACCGGCGAACGGGUGCGUAACACGUGAGGAACCUGCCCCGAAGACCGGGAUAGCCCGAGGAAACUCGGAUUAAUACCGGAUACCCUCCUCGGACCACAUGGUCUGUUGAGGAAAUGGUCCGCCGCUUCGGGAUGGCCUCGCGGCCUAUCAGCUUGUUGGUGAGGUAACGGCUCACCAAGGCAAAGACGGGUAGCUGGUCUGAGAGGACGAUCAGCCACACUGGGACUGAGAUACGGCCCAGACUCCUACGGGAGGCAGCAGCAGGGAAUAUUGCACAAUGGGCGAAAGCCUGAUGCAGCGACGCCGCGUGAGGGAUGAAUGCCUUAGGGUUGUAAACCUCUUUCAGGAGGGACGAAGCGAAAGUGACGGUACCUCCAGAAGAAGCCCCGGCCAACUACGUGCCAGCAGCCGCGGUAAUACGUAGGGGGCAAACGUUGUCCGGAUUUAUUGGGCGUAAAGAGCUCGUAGGCGGCUCAGCAAGUCGGUCGUGAAAACCCGAGGCUCAACCUCGGGACGCCGAUCGAAACUGCUGUGGCUAGGGUCCGGUAGAGGAGAGUGGAAUUCCCGGUGUAGCGGUGAAAUGCGCAGAUAUCGGGAGGAACAC
rnacentral:rRNA from 1 species